rnacentral:lncRNA from 1 species
CUCAAUCUACCUAAUUGGUAUUCUUCUAUCAUCACUGCUUUCUAGACAACUCUUUUUGGUGAUAUUUUAGCUAAACAAUGUAUUGGCAAGAAUUUUUUCUACCAAAAAUUCAAAUUCGAAUUCUUCCGAAUAAUUUUCUUUAGGAAAAACUCAUUAAUCACUUGAACUCAGUGUCUUGGUUUGUUUGAUUGUAAUUUUCUUAAUGCCCUCCUUGUGUUGGAUCGUCAAGGUUUUAUCAUUUUCCAUUUAAUUAGUUAAUACUCCCUCCGUCUCAAAAUUAUUGUCACAAUUUGACUAUGUCCACUAUUCAUACAUGCUACUUUGACUUAUAUUUUUUUUUAUUAAUGUAUAAAGAUAAAUAUUAGCAUAUCAAAUCUUGUUAGAUUUGUCUCGAUGAGUACUAUCAAAAUAUCAAUUUUUCAAAAUUUUUAAUAAUACACAAUUAAAAAUAUUAACGAUAAUGUGCAGUAGUAAAAUGUGACAAUUAUUUUGGGACGGAGGGAGUACAAGCCUCUAAUUAUAUAAAAAACAAAAAAUUAAGGGAAUAAAUGCGUAAUAAUUUAUAAAAUUUAGCCUAUAGAUUAUCAUCUUAAUUGUUUUUGCAUGUUACACAUUAAAAUCACUAUUAAUUUUUGCAUUUGUAUUAAACUAAUAAAUCUACUAAAUCUUUUACAAGUAUGAAAACUAACAAGAAUUAAUUAUUUCACGAUAACAAGGAUUCUAAGCUUGUUGCGAGAUAACGGUCUUUAACCUAGCUACACAUCCACCGGAUUUUCAUGGGUUAUAUCCGUCAAAAUAGGAGUUGUUGUUCAAAUCAAGUUUAGAUAUGAAUAAACUUGAUUAGUUAUGUUUCAAGUAGGCAUGGCAAUGGGUACCCGCGGGUACGGUUUUUACCUUCCCCGUUCUUCAUACCCGAAUCAUUGAUAAAUAUC